UGCUGUUGAACGGUUCCCGUUUGCGUCAGAUGUGCAACCGGUUGAAGGUGUUUGUUUUCAUACGGAUGAACGUGUUGAUCGGUGGCCAAAAGAGAGGAAUCAUUUUAAGAUUCGUUAUUUAUUCGUUAAAUCGUUAAUUCUAUAAUUGCUCCUAGGACAAACAUGUUAAAAUCUCUAGGGACAGUAACCAUUAUAGCCAAUCGGUGCAAGCAGAAGCAUUUGAAGAAGGAUCGACUAAUAAAAGCUAGCCAGCUUUUACAUUUGGAGGCUGGUUAGGUGUCUUGUUUAUGCUGUUGUACUCAUCAAUUUCCAAUGUUUGCAUCGCUCGUUCCAUAUAGCUUUUAUGGAUUUUCUUUGUUUUCGAAACAUGCCGACAUUUUACGUAUCGAUAGGGUGCAGGGAUAAGAUUUCAAAGUACGAGUACGAGUUGAAUAUGUAAACGGCUUUGGUGAAAAUGGACACAGCCAAGGAAUAUGUCCAAUCCACUUUCCAAAGAGUAGUAAUUGACAAAGGAUACCGCUUGCGACGUUAAGCUUUUGGCGUGAAAAUGCGGUUGCUUAAUCGUCUUAAUUCUGUAAAAUACUUGAUCAUGAUGGCAGUAAAGUGGUUUGAUAUGGUACAAAAAUAAAAGUUGAAAAAAUCUGCCCAAUGGCUCAUCGAGACCAGCUACGACAGGCUAUAAUGAUCGAAUGCCAACGAAAGCACAUCUAGCCAUGUCUCGUACGAAUUGCAAUGAAAGCAAGGAUGAUUAGGUUUUAGAAAGGUUCCCAAAGACAUAUCAGUAAGGUGCUCCGAAGAGGGAAAGAUUGAUUGAUUCGCAUGAAUUGUUUUUAUGUAGUUGAAAAAAUAAAGAAUCCUGUCCCAACA